rnacentral:rRNA from 1 species
CAGUCGAGCGGACCGAGGGAGCUUGCUCCCUUAGGUCAGCGGCGGACGGGUGAGUAACACGUGGGUAACCUGCCUGUAAGACUGGGAUAACUCCGGGAAACCGGGGCUAAUACCGGAUGCUUGAUUGAACCGCAUGGUUCAAUAUAAAGGGGCUUUAGCUCCACUUACAGAUGGACCCGCGGGCAUUACUAUUGGUGGGAACGGUCACCAAGGGACGAUGCGUAGCCGACCUGAGAGGGGAUCGGCACACUGGGACUGAACACGGCCAACUCCUACGGGAGGAGCAGUAGGGAAUCUUCCGCAAUGGACGAAAGUCUGACGGAGCAACGCCCGUGAGUGAUGAAGGUUUCGGAUCGUAAAACUUGUUGUAGGGAAAACAGUACCGUCGAAUAGGGCGGACCUUGCGGACCUAACCAGAAAGCCACGCUAACUACUGCGCAGCCGCGGNAAUASUAGNNNGAGCGNUGUCCGGAAUUAUUGGGCGUANAGCGCGCGCAGGCGGNUUCUUAAGUCUGAUGUGAAAGCCCCCGGCUCANCCGGGGAGGGUCAUUGGAAACUGGGGAACUUGAGUGCAGAAGAGAGNNNGGAAUUCCACGUGUAGCGGNGAAAUGNGUAGAGAUGUGGAGGAACACNAGUGGCGAAGGCGACUCUNUGGUNUGUAACUGACNCUGAGGCGCNAAAGCGUGGGGAGCGAACAGGAUUAGAUACCCUGGUANUCCACGCCGUAAACGAUGAGUGCUAAGUGUUNGAGGGUUUCCGCCCUUUAGUGCUGCAGCAAACGCAUUAAGCACUCCGCCUGGGGAGUACGGUCGCAAGANUGAAACUCAANGGAAUUGACGGGGGCCCGCACAANCGGUGGAGCAUGUGGUUUAAUUCGAAGCAACGCGANGAACCUUACCAGGUCUUGACAUCCUCUGNCAACCCUAGAGAUAGGGCUUCCCCNUUCGGGGGCAGAGUGACAGNNGUGCAUGGUGUCGUCAGCUCGUGUCGUGAGAUGUUGGGUUAAGUCCCGCAACGAGCGCAACCCUUGAUCUUAGUUGCCAGCAUUCAGUUGGGCACUCUAAGGUGACUGCCGGGACAAACCGGAGGAAGGUGGGGAUGACGUCAAAUCAUCAUGCCCCUUAUGACCUGGGCUACACACGUGCUACAAUGGGCAGAACAAAGGGCAGCGAAGCCGCGAGGCUAAGCCAACCCACAAAUCUGUUCUCAGUUCGGAUCGCAGUCUGCAACUCGACUGCGUGAAGCUGGAAUCGUAGUAAUCCGGAUCAGCAUGCCGCGGUGAAUACGUUCCCGGGCCUUGACACACCGCCCGUCACCACGAGAGUUUGUACACCCGAAGUCGGUGAGGUAACCUUUUGGAGCCAGCCGCCGAAGGUGGGACAGA